GAUGAAGAACGCAUUGAAAUGCGAUACGUAAUGUGAAUUGCAGAAUUCAGUGAAUCAUCGAGUCUUUGAACGCACAUUGCGCCCCCUGGUAUUCCGGGGGGCAUGCCUGUCCGAGCGUCAUUGCUGCCCUCAAGCACGGCUUGUGUGUUGGGCCUCCGUCCUCCUCCCGGGGGACGGGCCCGAAAGGCAGCGGCGGCACCGCGUCCGGUCCUCGAGCGUAUGGGGCUUCGUCACCCGCUCUUGUAGGCCCGGCCGGCGCUUGCCGACACAUCAAUCUUUUUUCCAGGUUGACCUCGGAUCAGGUAGGGAUACCCGCUGAACUUAAGCAUAUCAAUAAGCGGAGGA
rnacentral:misc_RNA from 1 species